rnacentral:lncRNA from 1 species
GGGGGUAGAACCAGGAAGUCUUGUCAAUGGGCAGGGCUUGCGAUCUUCGCAUGUGUCUUAUCGUAAAGAAUUGUUAAAAUUUAGGAUAGGGAAAAAACUAUUUAAUGGAUGAAGCGAGAACAGCAGGAAGAAAAGGAGGGAAGGUAGUUUUCUAGUACAAGCAUAUUGAGAAGAAUGGAGGACAAAGUUUGCGAAGAGCCAGCUAGAUUAACUAGAACUGGACCGAGAGAAAGUCCUCACACCUGAGUUCCUUUCUCAACUCUCCACCAACUGAACCGGGAUGGAAACAGACUAGUGAAGUUCUUUCAGUUCCCUUAAAGGUACUUUGAGGUAUAUAGCAGGUAUCUGAAGAAUGGCCAGUUUACUCUAACACUCUUUGGUGGGCAAAGUACGAAAACUGAAAGACAGCCUAAAGGAUUCCAUUAAGAAAAAAGAGAAAAAAUAGCCUAAUAAAAUAUAGGUGUCGGAGGACCAAUUGUGCAAAAGAGAAUCAAGCUGGAGCUCCCUAUUUUGCAGGAGCUGGGGCUGCACAGGGUGGAGGGAUAUAACGAUUCUCUAGACUUCUCAAGACUGCCUUUAAAAAACUACCUCAACUUCGACUUCUAAUCAAUGAUCUUGCAGCAAGUUUGUAUCUGACCUGGAAUUAGAAACAGCUUCAGAUCCCUACUAAGCAAGUUUGCUUCGGGGUGGGUAGGGGUCUCACCCAAUUACCAAGUCUGUAAGCUGAUUCCCAGCACUUCCUAUCUAUCAUCUGAGUAAAAUAAAUAUAAGUGGAAGGCAAGAGUUCUAUAAACAUUGGGUAUCACCACUGUAUUUUAAGGUAGAGUGACAGGUGUCCUGUAGAGUCCCUGUAAUCACCGGUAACUCUUCAAAAACUUCACGGAGGUUGUAUUAGUAUUUCCUGACUUGCUCCCGCUGACACAUGCCUCCAAGGUCAGCUGGACCAGUGCUACUCAUCACCGCAGUGCAGCUAACUGGACGGCCCACCGGAGGCGUGGACUCCUCGGGAACAGGCAGCUUGCUAUGAGCCCCCGGCC